GGCGAAAAGUGUGGUUCUCAGCUAAGUCAUUGAUUUUAUUAGUUCGAAUACGGCCUGCAAAGCCGUCUAGACGGGUUCGACUCCCGUCCUCGCCUCCA
rnacentral:tRNA from 1 species